CCCUUAGACGUUCUGGGCCGCACGCGCGCUACACUGACCAGUGCAACAAGCAUCCGUCCUUGGCCGACAGGCUCGGGCAAGCUUUGAACGCUGGUCGUGAUGGGGAUAGACUUUUGCAAUUUUUGGUCUUCAACGAGGAAUUCCUAGUAAACGCAAGUCAUCAACUUGCAUUGAUUACGUCCCUGCCCUUUGUACACACCGCCCGUCGCACCUACCGAUUGAAUGGUCCGGUGAAGCCUCCGGAUUGGCGCGCACCUCGGUGCCGCCGAGAAGUUGGCUAAACCUUACCAUUUAGAGGAAGGUGAAGUCGUAACA
rnacentral:rRNA from 1 species